AGUGAACGCUGGUGGUAGGCCUAACACAUGCAAGUCGAACGGCAGCACAGAGGAGCUUGCUCCUUGGGUGGCGAGUGGCGGACGGGUGAGGAAUACAUCGGAAUCUACUCUGUCGUGGGGGAUAACGUAGGGAAACUUACGCUAAUACCGCAUACGACCUACGGGUGAAAGCAGGGGACCUUCGGGCCUUGCGCGAUUGAAUGAGCCGAUGUCGGAUUAGCUAGUUGGCGGGGUAAAGGCCCACCAAGGCGACGAUCCGUAGCUGGUCUGAGAGGAUGAUCAGCCACACUGGAACUGAGACACGGUCCAGACUCCUACGGGAGGCAGCAGUGGGGAAUAUUGGACAAUGGGCGCAAGCCUGAUCCAGCCAUACCGCGUGGGUGAAGAAGGCCUUCGGGUUGUAAAGCCCUUUUGUUGGGAAGAAAUCCAGCUGGCUAAUACCCGGUUGGGAUGACGGUACCCAAAGAAUAAGCACCGGCUAACUUCGUGCCAGCAGCCGCGGUAA
rnacentral:rRNA from 1 species